GUCUUGAUUCAAAGGUUCGUUUAUUUACUGGUGCAAAUUACAUGUGCAGAGGAAAAAAAUCUUUGAUCAACGUUUCGACCCCUAUAGGGGUCUUUUUCAAGAAAAUAUAUAUAUAUAUAUCAAAGAUUUUUUUCCUCUGCACAUGUAAUUUGCACCAGUAAAUAAACAAACCUUUGAAUCAAGA